CGUGUAGGCGGGUUAUUAAGUCAGAUGUGAAAUACCGAGGCUCAACUUCGGGGCUGCAUCUGAAACUAAUAAUCUUGAGUGCAGGAGAGGAAAGCGGAAUUCCAAGUGUAGCGGUGAAAUGCGUAGAUAUUUGGAGGAACACCAGUGGCGAAGGCGGCUUUCUGGACUGUAACUGACGCUGAGGCGCGAAAGCGUGGGAGCAAACAGGAUUAGAUACCCUGGUAGUCCACGCCGUAAACGAUGGAUACUAGGUGUAGGAGGUAUCGACCCCUUCUGUGCCGGAGUUAACACAAUAAGUAUCCCACCUGGGGAGUACGGCCGCAAGGUUGAA
rnacentral:rRNA from 1 species